UACGUAGGGCGCAAGCGUUAUCCGGAAUUAUUGGGCGUAAAGAGCUCGUAGGCGGUUUGUCGCGUCGGCCGUGAAAACUUGGGGCUUAACUCCAAGCUUGCGGUCGAUACGGGCAGACUUGAGUUCGGCAGGGGAGACUGGAAUUCCUGGUGUAGCGGUGAAAUGCGCAGAUAUCAGGAGGAACACCGGUGGCGAAGGCGGGUCUCUGGGCCGAUACUGACGCUGAGGAGCGAAAGCGUGGGGAGCGAACAGG
rnacentral:rRNA from 1 species